rnacentral:rRNA from 1 species
UGGGGCCCUAACACAUGGCAAGUCGAGCGGAUGACAGGAGCUUGCUCCUGAAUUCAGCGGCGGACGGGUGAGUAAAGCCUAGGAAUCUGCCUGGUAGUGGGGGACAACGUUUCGAAAGGAACGCUAAUACCGCAUACGUCCUACGGGAGAAAGCAGGGGACCUUCGGGCCUUGCGCUAUCAGAUGAGCCUAGGUCGGAUUAGCUAGUUGGUGAGGUAAUGGCUCACCAAGGCGACGAUCCGUAACUGGUCUGAGAGGAUGAUCAGUCACACUGGAACUGAGACACGGUCCAGACUCCUACGGGAGGCAGCAGUGGGGAAUAUUGGACAAUGGGCGAAAGCCUGAUCCAGCCAUGCCGCGUGUGUGAAGAAGGUCUUCGGAUUGUAAAGCACUUUAAGUUGGGAGGAAGGGCAUUAACCUAAUACGUUAGUGUUUUGACGUUACCGACAGAAUAAUCACCGGUUAAUUCUGUGCCAGCAGCCGCGGUAAUACAGAGGGUGCAGCGUUAAUGGGAGUUACUGGGCGUAAAGCGCGCGUAGGUGGGUUUGUUAAGUUGGAUGUGAAAGCCCCGGGGCUCAACCCUGGGAACUGGGAUUCAAAAACUGACAAACCUAGAUUAUUGGUAGAGGGUGGGUGGAAAUUUCCUUGUGGUACCGGUGGAAAUUGGCU